AGCGGUCGGUUCCGCAGGUGAGCGUGGCUGGUGCUGGUCCCCCAGCAAGAGCCUAAACUCCAUAUGUAAACUUUGAGUUCUCUUCCCCGGAUCAGCAAGACUACCUGUUCCUAGAGUAUCUCUUAGGCAGUUUCGAUAAUCCAGCGCUCUGAAGAUAAAAGGGAAGACGCGGCUAUUUCCCCAGGGAGAAGCUUCUCUAAAAUGCAAAGCAGGCUGCCUCCGGUCCUUGCUCAGACUGGUGCAGCGUGUGUAAUGUAUGUGCAAAGUACUAUUUACAGACCCUGAGAACACAAUACUGUGUGGUGCUGUAACGUACAGCAGCGGCGCUGGAAACCUGCGAUGUGAAGAGUAGCCACCUCCACGGGGGUGUCUCUGUGUGAGCAACAACUGGCACCGUAAUAGCGCACGGACCUUCCCUCCUCCAGCUGCGCACGGACUUCAAAGUGUGUCCAGCCGCUUUCUGCCUCUCCCUGCGAAGUUGGCGUCCUCGUGGACCCCGCUGAGCUGCCCACGCAAGCAGGUGAAGCUCUGAGCUGCCGUGCUCAUCUACUGCCUCCCCGGAGCACUUCUGGACGAGCUGAGCUGGUAGCAAAAGGAGUUCGUGUGAGGUUGUUCUGCGCUCUGUCACCCAAAUCUCUGCACUUCUGACUUGCUUCCAGAUUUGGGAGGCCAAAGUGAGAGUCUGACCCCGCCAGGUCAUCAGGAGUUUUGCCUUUGCCUAAGGCCAAGCUUUCACUUGUUCUGCACAAACUUUAAAUACAAGCAUCGUGUUUGUGGUCAUAUGCAGAACGAACUUAGACCUGGGGAUUAUUAAGGAUAUUAAAACGACCGGGGAUGUGAUCCUGUGAGCUACUGGCUGCCUGUUGCUCCCAGGGAAAUCAGGGAGACACGUCGCACUUGGCCCAGGUUGAGAAUGAUCUUGUCAAAGAAGGUUUCUGGGAGGCACCGGCCGCUUCCAUCAGCGCUUCCUGGCAACAAAUGGAGUGUGGGUCUGGGGGAGGAGGAGCUGCUUAGAAAAUGAAUGGAUUUUUCUUUUCUAAAUGGGAAGUAGCAAAGAGUGGAUGUAUGCAACAGCAGAUACAAUGAGCGCACAGUCUUCUAGCCCGUGUUCCCCCAGGGGUCUCUCGUGGAAUAUAGUGUGUACCCAAAGUUAUGGGAUACACAUUGUUUCCCAAGGCUUCCUAAAAGGGGACAUUCACCCAGCUCCAGACGUUCCCAGCUAUGAGCAUGGGUGUUUUGUGCGUGUCCGCCAUGCCCAAGGACGUCCGUCAUUCCGCGUCAGUGGUUUGAAGGCUCACGCACAGGAAUUCACUUGGGGCGCAGGGUCUGGGGCGACGCGUGUCUCCUGCUCCCCGAGACGCUGGGUUUGCUCCCGACAGAACAGCACCAGCCCCUCACGCCCGCCAGACCCAACACAGCUCCUUCUCUUUGACAAGUUUUUCUAAAAUACUUCACUGGAGAAAAUUAAUGCUUCAGAAAAUCUUUAUGGACAACUCGAGCUGUUUGAAGAGAGAAGCCGUUUUACAACAUUAACUACACUAGGUGUUAUUUGUGCUCGAUCUGAUAUAUGGAUAUAGUGUUUCACUAACUGAAGUGGUGCAAAAGGGCUGUGUAAUUUUUAGCUCUCGUGUCGAGGGUGCCUUGUGUAACUCCCCGGUGCAGUGCUUCGGGAGGGAACGGCGCUUUAGCUGGGAUAUUUUUUUUUCCCCCCUCAGUUUUUAAGAUGCCAAGGUGGUGGAUGAAGAAUUGGACGCACCGAUGCAUCCUAAUGCCCGUCAGGUAUAUAGGAAGGAAUUACCAUGUCUUUAAAGUAAAAAGCAGCUAAUUUGGCCCCUUGUUUAACGAGAAGGAGUUAGACUUGAGUAGCAAGUCCUGAGGAGGAGAAAGUAACCCUAUUUAUUUAAAAGGCCAAUAACUUGAGGAAAUGCUUUAAGCAAAAUAAUAAUGUAAAGAUCUGCUGUGAGUGGAGACACUCCCCACAUCCACUCCUGUGCCAUUCUCUACUUUAACCUUUAGAAAAAAAGCAUCCUGUUCCCAAUCUGCAUUUUGUAAUUUUUUCCAAAACAAGGAGCACCCGUAUUGGAUCGUACGAAGGAGCGAUGCCCAUCCGUGCCCUCCCAGCACCCGCGGGGUCCCUGACAGCGCAGGGAGGGAGCCGGCCGGUGCCGGGAAUCCUAAUCUGGUGUAUGGACACCUCCCUCUCUUUUCUGUUACUCGUAUCUUUCCUACUACUCACCAUCCCAUCCACGCAGUGCAGCGGGGACACAGAUAACCCCCAGGUUUUGGCACUUGGCUCCGCCAGGGACGACCUUUCCCAGUGAUUAUGUUGCAGGGACCCGUUCGUGUCAUCUUUUUACUAUGGAAUUCGACAGAUUUUUUCACAGUGGUUGUUUUCACAAGGAAUGCCCCCAAAAUCCAGACUCAGCACGUGACAGCUGAGCCGUCGGCAUACCCCCUUUCUUACGGUAACCUGUAACGUGCUCUAUAUGCAAUUCGGGUUACUCAUAAAUUAUUCUCUUUCCAAAUCAGGCACCUAUGAAUUAUUCUCUGUAAUUGAAAAUUACCUAUGAAUUAUUCUUUUUGUAAUUCACAGAUAUGUCAUUUAUUCUCUAUUAUAUUGACAUUGCUUUCUUGGAUAGAUGUGCCCGGGGCUGACGGUAACAGUGUAAUUCUCCAAAGCCACGGCAAUAUCACACAGCGCGAGUUCAUUCGGGAUAUUCUGACAAGACAGAAACGGUCUCGUGUGCAGAAAACCUGCGUUGUACAGGUCCAGAGAAGGGCACUCAGUACAUAAUGGAUUUAUUUGGGGGUUUUUUGUGGAAUUUGGCCCUAACAUUGCACAGACUGUAUUCUUAUAUACGUGUUUUUAAGCCUUUUUUUUUUUUAAGCUGGUCAUUCUGAAGUUGUUUGUUUUAUAAAUCAACUUGUAAGUCAUUUCUAACUCUGACUCUCCUCUAUACACUGCAGCCUGCAGACGCACAGAAGGAGAUUCAUCCCGUUCCCUUCCCCUCUCAGCUCCUGUGAAGUAUUUAGAGGCAGACUCACUCAACUGGGCCCUCGCCAUGUCAAGAGGGACAUUAGCAGAGUCUCUUAAAACUGAUUAAUUGCUUAAGCUAGGUGCCGUACUGUAAACAAGCAGUGAUAGUGCAGAGAAUGCAUGGCCAGUCAACAGAAGUGAAAAGCCCAGAGCAAACAUAACAAGCAUUACCUAAUUAUCGACACAUGCCCUACUUGCUUAAUAGCUCUUUUCCUGAGAUUUGCAGUUGGUGUCCGCUACUCCAGAGGAUCCGACUCCCCUUCCCGGGAUCACCCGGACGACAGCCUGAAAGCAAUUUUCUCAAUUUAUUUGUUGACAUGUACAGAGAGAGAUUUUUCUUGACUGAGAUGCUGAACUCUCAGCGGGCAACAAGUCCAGCGUGACGGGACAGAGAAAGGACACUGAGGUGUGCUGGCAUCUAACCAAAUAAAAAUAAAAUUCUCACUAGUCCAGCUCCUUCCGAAGGACCUAAACGCAGCCCCGUGCUCGGAGCUGGGCUCUGCCCGCGGAAAAGGCUCGGCUGCUGGGGUCAGCCCAAAUCUGCUUGGCCAGGUUCAGACCCAAAAUGGGGCAACUCCCAGGGGCUGCGGGGGAACUUGAAGACGCUCAGCGCUUCUCAGAAUCAAUCUCCUCUGCUCACGGAGGAAACACACCCUGGACCUCAUCAUCCCCAUCCACGUACCCACGAGGAACUGCAGCAUCUUCUGUUCGCUUUGCACUAAAUGGCCACAAAACUCUGAGUCAGAGCUGCGUGUGUCCCACACCAUAAAGUCAGAUAAAACCUUCUGGCCUCACGCACUGCCAGAUCCCAAUCAUAUUUGUGUGCAAUGUCUCUAGAACACGUUUGUGACUCGGAAACAGAUGCUCUGUGUGGUCUCUCCCAAAAUGAGUCAUUCCUGGAGUUGCGGAAACCUUCAGGGAUUCACACGCGCGUUUACCAGGAGGAGACUCUACCUGUCAUAUUGUGACUGUGAUUGAUAUGUUACUGCCGCACGGCUCUGUCCUGGAAGUUUGUCCUCACAUGAAUCUUCCUCAUUAAUUUACUUGGACUGUUGGCCAAGCCAGAUGGACACCUCGUAGGCAGACAGGUUUGUGGGACUGGAGAUUAGAUUUGUAAAGGUCAUUAAAUACCUAAGAUGGAGACAGGUGCUUGCAUCUGUCUUUAUUUAAAUCUUCUUAUUUAAGAGUUCUUAAGUAUUUAAGAACACCUAUACAUCCACUUUCCCCUUGGUUUUGUUUUACAUUAAAGCCUGCUCUCUUCAAUACACUUUUCUUCAUGUCAAUAUGCAUUAAGGACACACAUUAUCCCUAGUUUCAGUCUUCUGUCCUAAGGGGUUUAUUUAUUCUGUGCUUAUGCAUAAUGAUACUUUUUUUUUUUAGCACCUUCUAUCUGAGACUCUCUAAGCAUCAUACAAACGUGCAUGAACUUCUCUGUGCUGCCUUCCAGAAAACAAGCUGACAGUACAUGCCUUUGCCCCUGCUCCCCCUCAUCGCCCAUUUAUUCAUCAUUUUCGGUGCUGUCUCUAUUCAUUUCAGUCUGGUUAACCUCUCUGAGAUGCUUCUCCCAUGCAGAUGUGUGACGAAGGGCUGGCUGCCGCCUUCUUCCCUUGCUCUUACACGAAGCAAACCUCUACAAUCCACUGGCGGGUUCCUGUGCGUUUGCUAACCAGAGACCCAAAAGCACCCAGAAGCAGAGCAACACCUAUCAGCGCUGUACAACAAACCUAACGCUGCAGAGAUACCCGACCUCUAAUCAUUCACAGCUCCAGGCACUUUGCUCUUCAUCAUACUUGUCUAGACAGACUAAAUGGGUUCUGCAAGACAACCCCGGUGUCAGCCAGGAAAGAGGCUGCGUUUUUCCAUACAGAUGGAUGCCCAAACAGGUAUGGCGAUGGUUAGAUAUUCCCUCGAGCACAGGCAUCAUAAAAGUGGUUCAUCAUGCUGUAUAAAUGCGCUGUAAUGCUGUGCCUCCUCCCAAGAAAUCAAGUGCUUUUCAAGUGGUGUCGCCGGGCAGGGGAUGUUUAUGGGCGUUUUACAGCGGAGGAGAAGGAGGGGGCUCCAAGGUGGUGCCGCGGCCGAGGAGCCACAAAGCCAGAAUGGCCGGGGUUGGGGGGGGGGGGGGGCACACCAAUGACUGACCCCAA